rnacentral:rRNA from 1 species
CUACGGGCGGCAGCAGUGGGGAAUAUUGGCAAUGGGCGAAAGCCUGAUCCAGCCAUGCCGCGUGUGUGAAGAAGGCCUUCGGGUUGUAAAGCACUUUCAGUGGGGAAGAAAGCCUUGGGGCUAAUACCCUCGAGGAAGGACAUCACCCACAGAAGAAGCACCGGCUAACUCCGUGCCAGCAGCCGCGGUAAUACGGAGGGUGCGAGCGUUAAUCGGAAUUACUGGGCGUAAAGCGCGCGUAGGCGGUCUGAUAAGCCGGUUGUGAAAGCCCCGGGCUCAACCUGGGAACGGCAUCCGGAACUGUCAGGCUAGAGUGCAGGAGAGGAAGGUAGAAUUCCCGGUGUAGCGGUGAAAUGCGUAGAGAUCGGGAGGAAUACCAGUGGCGAAGGCGGCCUUCUGGACUGACACUGACGCUGAGGUGCGAAAGCGUGGGUAGCAAACAGGAUUAGAUACCCCGGUAGUC